UACGGGGGGAGCAAGCGUUGUUCGGAUUUACUGGGCGUAAAGGGCGCGUAGGCGGCGCAACAAGUCAGUUGUGAAAUCUCCGGGCUUAACUCGGAAAGGUCAACUGAUACUGUGCGACUAGAGUGCAGAAGGGGCAACUGGAAUUCUCGGUGUAGCGGUGAAAUGCGUAGAUAUCGAGAGGAAGACCAGUGGCGAAGGCGGGUCUCUGGACAGUUCCUGACACUGAGACACGAAGGCCAGGGAGCAAACGGG
rnacentral:rRNA from 1 species